ACAAAUACGUAUAAUGUACUACGUUGCCAUUCUGAGGAAGAAGUAAACUUACCUCCGUUCUGUGGCAAAGAUGUUUUGCGAAUAUUCUGUAGAUUUGUCAACACCGUUCUGUUGUUAUUCUUUGCACCUUCAUUUUGCUUUCACGUUUGUAAUCGGCGUUAUUUUAUACAAGUUAGUGAAUUUUAAGUUCCAUAGUGUAAAUUUCAAGCAUGAAAAACUCUCUCGCACGUGUACGAAACACAUCGUGGCACAACUUAUACCGGCGGCCUCAAAGAUGGUAUUUAUAAUUAUCAAUUAUUAUCAAGCAAAUAUAUACAAAUAUAUCAAGAAUAAUAGUUGGUUUAUGCACCAUUCCUAAGAACCAAUAACUUUUUAGUUAUUGGUAUAUAAAGUAGUUCGAGCACUAACAAGGGAGUGCAUAAAAGCCACUGAAUUCUAAGCCCUGAAGAUCAAUGUUCAAUAUGCCUCGAUCCUUUAACAGAAGUAAUAUUGACAACGCCUUGUAACCAUAGAUUCCAUUAUCGAUGUAUCAAACGCUGGAUCAGGCGGAGCAGAACCUGCCCGUAUUGUAGGGCAAUUAUUGCGAGGAGAUCACAAGAAGGUGUAGAUGUCAGAGGAAGAGGUCUUGUCAUUGUGACGUUAUCCUUUCAUUACAGCCAUAGCAGUUGAUGCCACCAAAAAUUCAUGAGAAAAGAAUUUCCAUAUGUUUCCUUAAUAUUAUAUAUUGCUUGUGCAUACAAUUUAUUUUGUUAUGUAAAUAAUAUUAUCAUAUCGUAUGAUAUAAUAGUGUAUAAAUUAUAUUUUCCUAUUUUAAUUUGUAAAGAAUAUUUUAUAUGUCGAUGAAUAACUAAAACCAUAAUUACAUUUUUAUCAAUAUAACGUUAUGGAUAUUUUCUGGGAUUUAUAAAAUGUUUCAGAUUCAAAAAUAUACAAAUUUUUGAAUAAAAACUUAAUCUGACCCGAUGAAAGAUGUUGGAAGGAUUUUAAUGCCGGUAAUAUUUUUUUUUAUGAAUAAAUUAUUUUUUCUU